AAAGCCCUGUGGUGUACGUGAGGUCCGGUGAAAGUUUGAGCCAACACCAAUAAUAAGGGAGCCUGGGCUUUGGCAGUGGAAUAUAGGCCGUCUUCGAACGGAAAUAUGAAGCUGCCAAGAGGGCACCCACCUUUGUGAGUCCGGGUUCAAAAACUACCGGGAGGCACGGCACUAUGGGGUUUUU
rnacentral:other from 1 species